GUGUACUCGCUUCAGCAACACAUAUACUAAAAUUGGAACGAUACAGAGAAGAUUAGCAUGGCCCCAGCGUAAGGAUGACACUCAAAUAAAUAAAUAAAUAAAGGCUGGG